UACGGAGGGUGCAAGCGUUGUUCGGAAUCAUUGGGCGUAAAGAGCGUGUAGGCGGCCGGGUAAGUCAGAUGUGAAAUCCCUUGGCUUAACCAAGGAAGUGCAUUUGAAACUGCUCGGCUUGAGUACGGGAGGGGGAAGUGGAAUUCCCGGUGUAGAGGUGAAAUUCGUAGAUAUCGGGAGGAACACCGGUGGCGAAGGCGGCUUCCUGGACCGAUACUGACGCUGAGACGCGAAAGCGUGGGGAGCAAACAGG
rnacentral:rRNA from 1 species